rnacentral:rRNA from 2 species
UAGGGAAUCUUCGGCAAUGGACGAAAGUCUGACCGAGCAACGCCGCGUGAGUGAAGAAGGUUUUCGGAUCGUAAAACUCUGUUGUUAGAGAAGAACAAGGACGUUAGUAACUGAACGUCCCCUGACGGUAUCUAACCAGAAAGCCACGGCUAACUACGUGCCAGCAGCCGCGGUAAUACGUAGGUGGCAAGCGUUGUCCGGAUUUAUUGGGCGUAAAGCGAGCGCAGGCGGUUUCUUAAGUCUGAUGUGAAAGCCCCCGGCUCAACCGGGGAGGGUCAUUGGCAACUGGGAGACUUGAGUGCAGAAGAGGAGAGUGGAAUUCCAUGUGUAGCGGUGAAAUGCGUAGAUAUAUGGAGGAACACCAGUGGCGAAGGCGGCUCUCUGGUCUGUAACUGACGCUGAGGCUCGAAAGCGUGGGGAGCAAACAGG